rnacentral:rRNA from 1 species
GACCAAGUCGAUAAGGGCAUACGGUGGAUGUCUUGGCGUUGAGAGGCGAUGAAGGACGUGGGAACCUGCGAUAAGCCCAAAGGAGCCGGUAACCAGGCUGUGAUUUUGGGAUUUCCGAAUGGGGCAACCCGGCCCGUUUUUACGGGUCACCUGCACCUGAAUGCAUAGGGUGCAGGAGCGAACCUGGAGAACUGAAACAUCUCAGUACCCAGAGGAAAAGAAAGCAAACGCGAUUCCGUCAGUAGCGGCGAGCGAAAUCGGAACAGCCCAAACCGGGCUUCGGCCCGGGGAGACAGACGCGAAGUGAAUCGAUAUUGAAUGUUCUGGAAAGUUCAUCCAAAGAAGGUGAGAGACCUGUAAAUAUCGUGAAGCGGAGCAGUCUCAACGAGUAUCGUCGAGCCCGUGGAACUCGGCGUGAAUAUGCGGGGUCCACCCCGUAAGGCUAAAUACUACUCAACGACCGAUAGUGAACCAGUAAGGUGACUGAACGAUGAAAAGAACCCCGAUAAGGGGAGUGAAAAGUACCUGAAACCGUAUGCUUACAAGCUGUGGGAGCCUUGAUUCGUUUCGGCGAAUCCGGGUGACCGCGUGCCUUUUGCAUAAUGAGCCGACGAGUUACUCUCUGUGGCAAGGUUAAGCUGUAUCCCAGCGUAGCCGAAGGGAAACCGAGUCUUAAACGGGCGCCGAGUCGCAGGGAGUAGACGCGAAACCGAGUGAUCUACCCAUGGGCAGGUUGAAGGUGGGGUAAUAGCCGCUGGAGGACCGAACGCACCUACGUUGAAAAGUGGGGCGAUGACCUGUGGGGAGGAGUAAAAGUCUAAUCAUACUCGGAGAUAUCUCGUUCUCCUCGAAAUAGCUUUAGGGCUAGCCUCUCGUGAUACCCGUUGGGGGUAGAGCGACUGAAUGGGGCUGGGGGGCCACAAGCCUACCCACUCCAAUCAAACUCCGAAUACCAACGGGCUCUAUCGAGGGAGUCAGUCCGCGGGAGAUAAUUUCCGCGGUCAAAAGGGAAACAGCCCAGACCGCCAGUUAAGGUCCCUAAUCAAAUCUAAGUUUCUAAGGUAGUUGGAUUGCCGUGACAGCCAGGAUGUUGGCUUAGAAGCAGCCACCAUUUAAAGAGUGCGUAACAGCUCACUGGUCGAGGAAUCCAGCGCCGAUAAUGAUCGGGAAUAAGGUUUGAACCGAAACUGCGGACUCCGACUUGUCGGAGUGGUAGAGGAGCGUUCCUGUCAGCAUUGAAGGGGAUCCGCGAGGAUCCUUGGAGCGUCAGGAAGUGAAUAUGUCGGCUUGAGUAACGAUAAAUGGAGUGAGAAUCUCCAUCGCCGAAAGCCUAAGGUUUCCUGGGGAAGGUAAAUCCGCCCAGGGUUAGGCGGGACCUAAGGCGAGGCCGAAAGGCGUAGUCGAUGGACAGCAGGUUAAUAUUCCUGCCCUCCCAUGUGCGGUUGAUCCGGCGUGACGGAUCGUGAAGUUUGACGGGACAGUGAAGCGUCCAGGCCCUCGGGCCGAUGUCGGGUGGAUCGAUUCCUUGAAAAACCGUCCGGUGACAAGCAUGGGACCCGUACUAAAACUGACACAGGUAGGCGUGGCGAAAAGCCUCAGGCGCUCGAGAAAAUGGUUGUGAAGGAACUAGGCAAAUUGACCCCGUACCCUCGGAAUAAGGGGGCCCUACUGGCAACAGAGGGCGCAGAGAAAAGGCUCUGGCGACUGUUUAUCAAAAACACAGCACUGUGCCAACUCGCAAGAGGACGUAUACAGUGUGACGCCUGCUCGGUGCCGGAAUGUUAAGGAAGCAGGUUAGCUUACGCGAAGCUUGCGACUAAAGCACCGGUAAACAGCGGCCGUAACUAUGACGGUCCUAAGGUAGCGAAGUUCCUUGUCGGGUAAGUUCCGACGUGCAUGAAUGGCGUAACGACUGGAGCACUGUCUCCACAACCAACUCGGUGAAAUAGUAGUGGCGGUGAAGAUGCCGCCUACCCGCAGCAAGACGGAAAGACCCCGUGGACCUUUACUGCAGGCUUAUACUGGUCAUGGACCUGGACUGCGUAGGAUAGGUGGGAGGCUUUGAAACUCGGAUUUCGGUCCGGGUGGAGCCAACCUUGAAAUACCACCCUGUGCUCGUUUGUGGCCUAACUCCGAUUCCCAUGAAGCUGGGCGGAGGACCGUGUAUGCUGGGCGGUUUGACUGGGGCGGUCUCCUCCCAAAAAGUAACGGAGGAGCGCAAUGGUCGGUUCAGCAUGGUUGGAAACCAUGUAUCGAAUGUAAGAGUACAAGCCGGCUUUACUGUGAGACAUACAAGUCGAGCAGUUACGAAAGUAGGCUCUAGUGAUCCUGCGAUCCCGUGUGGAAGGGUCGUAGCUCAACGGAUAAAAGGUACCCCGGGGAUAACAGGCUUAUCGCUCCCGAGCGUCCAUAGCGGCGGAGCGGUUUGGCACCUCGAUGUCGGCUCAUCACAUCCUGGGGCUGAAGGCGGUCCCAAGGGUUGGGCUGUUCGCCCAUUAAAGUGGUACGCGAGCUGGGUUCAGACCGGCGCGAGCCAGGUCGGUCCCUAUCUGCUGUGGGCGCUGCAACAUUGACAGGAUUUCUCCCUAGUACGAGAGGAUUGGGAGGGACUCACCCCUGGUGUGCCAGUUGGACCGCUCGGUCCAUCGCUGGGUAGCUAAGUGAGGCAGGGAUAACCGCUGAAAGCAUCUAAACGGGAAGCCCCCCUGGAGAUGAGUGUUGCAUGUUCCUUCUAGGAACGAGAGACCCCCGGAAGACCACCGGGUUGAUCGGCCGCACGUGUAAGUGCAGAAAUGCAUUCAGCGAAGCGGUACGAACGGUCGACGACUUUGUCAU